AUUGUAUUAUUAAUAAGCACCACCGAAACCGCUGUCAAUACUGCAGCUGUCCAAUGUGAAAGAAAACCCAUUGAAGUAUCACGAGAAAAAUCUUCCAACUGUGCUGCUUCAACAGAAAAAAUCUAUAUCCGAAAGGACCUUCGUAGCCCAUUAACUGCAACUCCAACUUUUGUAGCAGAUAGUGAAAGUACAAGGUCAACAGGACUGUUAGAUUCAGGAAUGUUCGUGAAUAUUCAUCCAUCUGGAGUAAAAACUGAGUCAACUGUGCUGAUGACAUCAGAUAAGGCUGAAUCAUGUCAGGGAGAUUUAAGUACAUUGGCCAGUGUGGUUACAUCAUUAGCGAAUCUUGGAAAAACUAAAGAUCUUUCUCAAAAUAGUAAUGAAAUGUCUAUGAUUGAAAGCUUAAGCAAUGAUGAUACCUCUUUGUGUGAAUUUCAAGAAAUGCAGACCAACGGUGAUGUUUCAAGGGCAUUUGACACUCUUGCAAAAGCACUGAAUCCUGGAGAGAGCACAGCCUGCCAGAGCUCAGUAGCGGGCAUGGAAGGAAGUGUACACCUAAUCACUGGAGAUUCA
rnacentral:sRNA from 1 species